UGGUUAAUAGCAUACUCAUUUGACGUUAGCUGCAGAAGAAGCACCGGCUAACUCCGUGCCAGCAGCCGCGGUAAUACGGAGGGUGCGAGCGUUAAUCGGAAUUACUGGGCGUAAAGCGCAUGCAGGUGGUUUGUUAAGUCAGAUGUGAAAGCCCGGGGACUCAACCUCGGAAUUGCAUUUGAAACUGGCAAACUAGAGUACUGUAGAGGGGGUAGAAUUUCAGGUGUAGCGGUGAAAUGCGUAGAGAUCUGAAGGAAUACCGGUGGCGAAGGCGGCCCCCUGGACAGAUACUGACACUCAGAUGCGAAAGCGUGGGGAGCAAACAGGAUUAGAUACCCUGGUAG
rnacentral:rRNA from 1 species